rnacentral:rRNA from 1 species
GACGUAGGGCGCGAGCGUUGUCCGGAAUUAUUGGGCGUAAAGAGCUCGUAGGCGGUUUGUCGCGUCGAAUGUGAAAACCCGGGGCUCAACUCCGGGCCUGCAUUCGAUACGGGCAGACUAGAGUUCGGUAGGGGAGACUGGAAUUCCUGGUGUAGCGGUGAAAUGCGCAGAUAUCAGGAGGAACACCGAUGGCGAAGGCAGGUCUCUGGGCCGAUACUGACGCUGAGGAGCGAAAGCGUGGGGAGCGAACAGG